UACAGAGGUCUCAAGCGUUGUUCGGAUUCAUUGGGCGUAAAGGGUGCGUAGGCGGCGCGGUAAGUCGGGUGUGAAAUCUCGGGGCUUAACUCCGAAACUGCAUUCGAUACUGCCGUGCUUGAGGACUGGAGAGGAGACUGGAAUUUACGGUGUAGCGGUGAAAUGCGUAGAUAUCGUAAGGAAGACCAGUGGCGAAGGCGGGUCUCUGGACAGUUCCUGACGCUGGAGGCACGGAAGGCCCAGGGGGAGCAAAACGGG
rnacentral:rRNA from 1 species